CGCUCAGGUCCCAAAGCAGGAAAAAGCUUCUCUGAGCCUCUGUAAAGCAGCUAGAACUUCCGUCACCACGUCCGCCGUAGGGUCUGAGGUGGGAGGCAGUGAUGGUCAAUUCCCUAUGAUAAUGGACAAAAGGUGGACACGUGUCAGGAGAACAAGCAGCAUCAAAGCGAUGUAUUGGAGUUCGAUCCAUUAUCGUCCCUCGACCUGGCUGCUCGAAGAAAGGAUUGCAAGUUGAUUGCGAGCAUGUUCCACUGUAUCAUGAGGCCUCCUGCAUGCUUCACUGGCUCUCCUUGUUCACUGUCCAUCUGCUACGGGGAAAUGGCAGAACUUAGGAGAAAGGAAAGGUUACUGUUGGGGAUUUUAAUAAUUAAUGGUUUAAAUGUUCACCGACUGUGAGAAUUUUGACCGAUCAGUCAAACAACAAAAAUAAACCCAGUAAAUCUGAAAGAAGCAGUUUGGGGCUUACCUUUCUUACUUCAGUCAGCAGGUAGCGCGUGAGAAAGAUUUGUUCCUGGCGGAUAUGGAGACUGGCUGCGUUUCCACGGCGAUGAUCGAGUAAUCGACUAGGCGGCUCUAGUUACUGACUCAUUAUUCCGUGGUACAAUCAAAAAGGGUAUAAAACAAAUUCAUACACAACCCUCUUAAGGGUUAAUAGCUGACGGUGUAAUUAGCAGAUGAGGUAUUUACAGCUGAGAACACUGUCACAUUUGGCAAUUUAUCCCUCUGGGUCUAACAUGUAAGAACCUGAUGUGAGCAUGUUCUUAUGUCAUUUCCUCGAUUAUUGGUUGUUGGUCGUUUUCUCACAGCUGUUCAUAAUCUGUUUCUGGAUUGAUGACAUAGUAUUUGCAGGACAUUGAG